rnacentral:lncRNA from 1 species
AGAGUUCAUGUGGGAUGGGACCUCCUGAACUCUUUUAGACAGGGCCGGCGCCACCUGCUGUGACAACUCUUGAGAAGACUAGAAAACCAGAUAGAAUGAGACAGCAUGGAUAAGUAAGCCACAGCUGGCCAUACUCCUGCAUCAGCUCUACCCCUUUUCUGUCGAGUGAAUCCAGAAAAGAAAAUUAAAGCCUUCAGUUGGAAUGGUACCAGCCCUACCUGGGAGUAGGGAAAAGAUGGCAGCUCCAGUGAGCCCUUGUAGCAGAAGAAUGUCAAGAUAGUGUUCUGCCCAGCACCAGAGUGGAAUCUGUCAGACCACUCGCAGCACUGCUGUUUGAUCUUAUCGGGCUGCUGCAGCGGUGAAGCUUAGAUGUCUGGAGAGCAUUAAACAAAUCUUAUUGACUUCCCAGAGUGAAGAAUGUUCAGCUCGGCACCAUGCGGUUGAGAGAUAAACACUGCAGAAUGUAAACAAAGAACAUUGAUGAAGCACUUGGGUGAACUUGGGCAAGACAUUUGUCCAAUCAAGUUAUCAAAGCCGAAUUCCCGUUAGUCCUUUUGGAACUCUUUUUGCUUAUGAAGCAGAUAUGGAUUGGAGGGCAGGCUGGUCCCUAUUGUUGUUCUUCAGGCUUGCUUGUGUUAGGUCAGCAUGUUAGUUCCCCCUACCUCCGUAAAGACUGAGAGCCACAUUUGGAUCAGGACAGGAAGUACACCCCCUCCUUAAACUCUUUACUUUCAGGAGAAGUCAUGGGCGGUGAAGAUGUUUCCUGCCAUUCUUUACAGAAACAAGAGUCACUUCAGGGUUGUUUCAUUAUCAGUGGAGUAGCUGUCCCAUGGACCUCUGCCCCUUAAGAGUGAAAGAGCAGUCAAGGCAGAGCCCACUAGCCUCACGCCGUCACAGUUGCAAGCAAGCAAAGCUGUCACCUUCCUGUAUUAUCUACAAAUGGUGUUUGUUUCCUUUGACGUAUAUUCUAACACUUGGGGCAGGAGGGAUUUCUCGAAAAAACAUUAUUGUUGAGUAUACCAAUUCCCUGCCCCCAGCCACCCUUUUUGUUUCCUUUUCAAGACUCCAGGAAUCGCUAAAUGGCAUAUCCUGGACAACCAACACUCUUCAGCUAAAAAUACCAGAGAGUGAGCUUAUCUCAAACAAUGCUUCCUCUCCAGGGGCUUCAUAGACAUUAUCUCAUUUAUCCUUAAAAACACCCUAUGAGAUAGGGCAUGGCCAAAGAACUGGAUCCCAGAAAGGUAAGGAAGCUUUAAGACAAAAGGUCAUUGGUGGAGGUUUGAUUCUGAAGCUCAGCAGAACAGCUCAGAUGCAUAACUUUCAGGCUGUGGAAUCCACUCACCCGGCAUCAAUGACUUGACUCCAGGAGCCCAGAUACUCCUUAUAAAACAAGACUCCUAGCAUACAGGAAAAGACGAAGCUUAGAGGAAAUUGGACCCCCAAAGCUACUUCUUCAGGGUAAUGAUGAUUUCUUUGUUAUCUAUAACAAACUGGAGAACAACCUUGAUCAUCUUUUCAAAUUCUCCCAUUGCCCUCCUAGCCUCAUCUGUUAACAUGUCUUCAUGUCUCAUCUAUACCAACUUAUUGGAACAACUGGCUUAGUUGUCUCAGCAGAACAGAAUAUAUAUCUCUCCCUUCUAGAAGUCAUACAUGACUUGGUUAUAUGCAUUUCAAAAACAGAUUCCAUCAUCAACAAAAUGGAUUGUUCUACCGUUCUAUAUAUUGUCCUAUAUUCUUUUUCUCAAGACUUGGUCCCAUGCCAAACCUGGGAGUCAUGGCAGCUUCCAGGCCCUCUUAGUAGCAUAUGCAAAUCCUGUCACUGAUGUAUCUCCUGCAUGCCCCCCAUGACUAAUUUUCUUGCCACCCAUACUCAUGCCCAAGGGGAAUGAGCUUGGAAGCAUGAACUGACUAGCUUCCUCCUCUCUGGCUGUCAGCUGAUUUAGCAGGAGGUUGAGGGGAGACAAGAGUAUGUUGUUAGUUUUACCUUAUUUCUUCCCUGUAGGAUAACUAUGACUGAGCCCUGGCCACAAGGCCAUCUCCAGCAAACAUUCCUUUCAAACACUGUUCUUUGUCUGGGUUUUUAGUAAGCAUCACUUCCUGACGGCCACCAGCCUGGAAAUUUUAAAGGAUCCUCCUGCUAAUGUUGCCAAUUCUUUUGUCAUCCCUAUUAUAUGUAUUAGAGCCACAACACAUUCUGUAAAUAGUUCUUUCAUAAAUUUGUUACAGCUCCUAGAUAGAAUGGAUUCCAUUGGUCCUAGUUUGCUUGUCUGAUCUUGUAAUAAAACCAUGAUCAGAU